CCAGACUCCUACGGGAGGCAGCAGUGGGGAAUAUUGCACAAUGGAGGAAACUCUGAUGCAGCGACGCCGCGUGAGUGAAGAAGUAUUUCGGUAUGUAAAGCUCUAUCAGCAGGGAAGAAAAUGACGGUACCUGACUAAGAAGCACCGGCUAAAUACGUGC
rnacentral:rRNA from 1 species